CGCUCUGUAAAGCACGCAGUGGUUUGCAGAGUGAUUAUCAGCUUCCCUGCCCUGGAUAAGGAACAGCUACAGUCGCUGUUAAAUGUGCCUGAAAAGCAAUUUGCAAUCUUUGCAUUAGGCAUUUCGGCCGUGGAACCCCAGGCUCGGAGGACUGGGUGUGAGCGCUGCCCGGGAGAGGCUGACCUGCCGGGACCGGAGUGCCCGGGGACGCUGUGCCCCCACUUGCCCAACGUGCGGAAUCGGCUAAGCGCGUCGGCCUGCGCGGGGGACAAGGGACGACGCCCGCCUUUCUCUCUUCGAGAAGGAUCCCCAAACCUCACUCUCUUCACUCCUCCCCGCUAAAAAAAAAAAAAAAAAAAAAAAAAAAAGGGUAAAAAAAUCCCCCUCCCCCUCCUGGCCGCGGCAGCCUCUGCCUGGCAGGCGCGUGCUCCGAGGUCUCGCCGGGGUACUGCGCGGCUCCGUGAUCCACCCGCCGACGCCGGUUCGGGCCCCGACCCGGGCGCUGCGGAGUCUCGAACGCCCGUGACGUGGAUUUUUCGCUCGUCAGGAGGCCGCCAUCCCUUCCUUCGUUCCUUGCGAGGAGCGACUAGAACCCGAGUUCUCUGAGCACACCGUGCCGUCAGCUGGCCCGUCACGCACUCGACUCCGCCACUCCCCUACUUGUUUUUCUGAGACUUGGGGAGCCUUCCUGAAAGGAUUUGUAAAAACUGGUUCUUGGAAAGGGGCUGCAGGAGAAGACCUCCCGAGGUGGAUGUUACUGAGCCGCCCGGCGAGCACCAGCCGUGAGAGGUCCGGGCCCGGCCGCGCGGAGCCGCGGGAGAACUGCCCUCCGCAGCCGGAAGGGGGCCGCGGGG
rnacentral:sRNA from 1 species